rnacentral:rRNA from 1 species
CGAACGGCAGCACGGGGGCAACCCUGGUGGCGAGUGGCGAACGGGUGAGUAAUACAUCGGAACGUGCCCAGUCGUGGGGGAUAACGUAGCGAAAGCUACGCUAAUACCGCAUACGAACUCAGGUUGAAAGCGGGGGAUCGCAAGACCUCGCGCGAUUGGAGCGGCCGAUGGCAGAUU